rnacentral:rRNA from 1 species
GUGGGGAAUAUUGGACAAUGGGCGAAAGCCUGAUCCAGCAAUGCCGCGUGAGUGAAGAAGGCCUUCGGGUUGUAAAGCUCUUUUACCCGGGAAGAUAAUGACUGUACCGGGAGAAUAAGCCCCGGCUAACUCCGUGCCAGCAGCCGCGGUAAUACGGAGGGGGCUAGCGUUGUUCGGAAUUACUGGGCGUAAAGCGCACGUAGGCGGUCUUUUAAGUCAGAGGUGAAAGCCCGGGGCUCAACUCCGGAAUUGCCUCUGAAACUGGAAGACUUGAACACGGGAGAGGUGAGUGGAAUUCCGAGUGGAGAGGUGAAAUUCGUAGAUAUUCGGAGGAACACCAGUGGCGAAGGCGGCUCACUGGACCGUUGUUGACGCUGAGGUGCGAAAGCGUGGGGAGCAAACAGGAUUAGAAACCCUAGUAGUCC